rnacentral:rRNA from 1 species
UGGGGAAUAUUGCACAAUGGGGGGAAACCCUGAUGCAGCGACGCCGCGUGAGCGAAGAAGUAUUUCGGUAUGUAAAGCUCUAUCAGCAGGGAAGAAGAAAUGACGGUACCUGACUAAGAAGCCCCGGCUAACUACGUGCCAGCAGCCGCGGUAAUACGUAGGGGGCAAGCGUUAUCCGGAUUUACUGGGUGUAAAGGGAGCGCAGGCGGUGUGGCAAGUCUGAUGUGAAACCCGGGGCUCAACCCCGGGCCUGCAUUGGAAACUGUCAUACUGGAGUGUCGGAGAGGUAAGCGGAAUUCCUAGUGUAGCGGUGAAAUGCGUAGAUAUUAGGAGGAACACCAGUGGCGAAGGCGGCUUACUGGACGACAACUGACGCUGAGGCUCGAAAGCGUGGGGAGCAAACAGGAUUAGAUACCCUGGUAGU